AUUCCAGCUCCAAUAGCGUAUAUUAAAGUUGUUGCAGUUAAAACGCUCGUAGUCGGAUUUCGGGGCGGGCCGACCGGUCUGCCGAUGGGUAUGCACUGGCCGGCGCGUCCUUCCACCCGGAGACCGCGCCUACUCUUAACUGAGCGGGCGCGGGAGACGGGUCUUUUACUUUGAAAAAAUCAGAGUGUUUCAAGCAGGCAGUCGCUCUUGCAUGGAUUAGCAUGGGAUAAUGAAAUAGGACUCUGGUGCUAUUUUGUUGGUUUCUAGAGCUGGGGUAAUGAUUAAUAGGGAUAGUUGGGGGCAUUCGUAUUUAACAGUCAGAGGUGAAAUUCUUGGAUUUGUUAAAGACGGACUACUGCGAAAGCAUUUGCCAAGGAUGUUUUCAUUA
rnacentral:rRNA from 1 species